rnacentral:rRNA from 1 species
ACGAACGCUGGCGGCAGGCUUAACACAUGCAAGUCGAGCGCAAUACUAUCUUCGGAUAGUGGAGAGCGGCGGACGGGUGAGUAACGCGUGGGAACCUACCCUUUGGUUCGGAAUAACUUUGGGAAACCGAAGCUAAUACCGGAUACGCCCCGUAAGGGGGAAAGAUUUAUUGCCGAAGGAUGGGCCCGCGUUGGAUUAGGUAGUUGGUAGGGUAAUGGCCUACCAAGCCUACGAUCCAUAGCUGUUCUGAGAGGAAGAUCAGCCACACUGGGACUGAGACACGGCCCAGACUCCUACGGGAGGCAGCAGUGGGGAAUCUUGGACAAUGGGGGAAACCCUGAUCCAGCCAUGCCGCGUGAAUGAAGAAGGCCUUAGGGUUGUAAAGUUCUUUCGCUCGUGACGAUGAUGACGGUAACGAGAGAAGAAGCCCCGGCUAACUUCGU